UACGUAGGGUGCAAGCGUUGUCCGGAUUCACUGGGUUUAAAGGGUGCGUAGGUGGGCAAGUAAGUCAGUGGUGAAAUCUCCGGGCUUAACCCGGAAACUGCCAUUGAUACUAUUUGUCUUGAAUACUGUGGAGGUCAGCGGAAUAUGUCAUGUAGCGGUGAAAUGCUUAGAUAUGACAUAGAACACCAAUUGCGAAGGCAGCUGGCUACACAAAUAUUGACACUGAGGCACGAAAGCGUGGGGAUCAAACAGG
rnacentral:rRNA from 1 species